UUUUUUUUUUUUUUCAAAUUUUCUUUUUAUAAUUUAAAAAUACUUUUUAAAACUGUUUUUAAAAUUUUUAUUUUUUAUUUUAAUAUUUUUUUUUUAUAAAAUUUUAAACCCUAAUUCCAAAACCCCACCCCUUAACUCUAAACCCUAAGGUUUGGAUUAAUUAACCCAAGGGGUAUAAGUGUAUAUUUACCUCUUUAAUGAAACCUAUUUUUGUGACUUUGAACCUUGAGUGCUACUUUGGGAACAUAAACUUGGUUUGGUGCUAUCCUAGUCUUUUUCUCUAU
rnacentral:lncRNA from 1 species